rnacentral:rRNA from 1 species
CCUACGGGAGGCAGCAGUCGAGAAUCAUUCACAAUGGGGGAAACCCUGAUGGUGCGACGCCGCGUGGGGGAAUGAAGGUCUUCGGAUUGUAAACCCCUGUCAUGUGGGAGCAAAUUAAAAAGAUAGUACCACAAGAGGAAGAGACGGCUAACUCUGUGCCAGCAGCCGCGGUAAUACAGAGGUCUCAAGCGUUGUUCGGAAUCACUGGGCGUAAAGCGUGCGUAGGCUGUUUCGUAAGUCGUGUGUGAAAGGCGCGGGCUCAACCCGCGGACGGCACAUGAUACUGCGAGACUAGAGUAGUGGAGGGGGAACCGGAAUUCGCGGUGUAGCAGUGAAAUGCGUAGAUAUCGAGAGGAACACUCGUGGCGAAGGCGGGUUCCUGGACAUUAACUGACGCUGAGGCACGAAGGCCAGGGGAGCGAAAGGGAUUAGAUACCCCAGUAGUC